rnacentral:rRNA from 1 species
ACCCUGGUAGUCCACGCCCUAAACGAUGCGAACUGGAUGUUGGGUACAUUACGGUACUCAGUGUCGAAGCUAACGCGUUAAGUUCGCCGCCUGGGGAGUACGGUCGCAAGACUGAAACUCAAAGGAAUUGACGGGGGCCCGCACAAGCGGUGGAGUAUGUGGUUUAAUUCGAUGCAACGCGAAGAACCUUACCUGGCCUUGACAUCUGUCGAAUCCUGCAGAGAUGCGGGAGUGCCGCAAGGAACGACAAGACAGGUGCUGCAUGGCUGUCGUCAGCUCGUGUCGUGAGAUGUUGGGUUAAGUCCCGCAACGAGCGCAACCCUUGUCCCUAGUUGCCAGCACGUAAUGGUGGGAACUCUAGGGAGACUGCCGGUGACAAACCGGAGGAAGUGGGGAUGACGUCAAGUCCUCAUGGCCCUUACGGCCAGGGCUACACACGUACUACAAUGGUCGGUACAGAGGGUUGCGAAGCCGCGAGUGGAGCCAAUCCCAGAAAACCGAUCCCAGUCCGGAUCGGAGUCUGCAACUCGACUCCG